AGGUGCUGCAUGGCUGUCGUCAGCUCGUGUUGUGAAAUGUUGGGUUAAGUCCCGCAACGAGCGCAACCCUUAUCCUUUGUUGCCAGCGGUCCGGCCGGGAACUCAAAGGAGACUGCCAGUGAUAAACUGGAGGAAGGUGGGGAUGACGUCAAGUCAUCAUGGCCCUUACGACCAGGGCUACACACGUGCUACAAUGGCGCAUACAAAGAGAAGCGACCUCGCGAGAGCAAGCGGACCUCAUAAAGUGCGUCGUAGUCCGGAUUGGAGUCUGCAACUCGACUCCAUGAAGUCGGAAUCGCUAGUAAUCGUGGAUCAGAAUGCCACGGUGAAUACGUUCCCGGGCCUUGUACACACCGCCCGUCACACCAUGGGAGUGGGUUGCAAAAGAAGUAGGUAGCUUAACCUUCGGGAGGGCGCUUACCACUUUGUGAUUCAUGACUGGGGUGAAGUCGUAACAAGGUAACCGUAGGGGAACCUGCGGUUGGA
rnacentral:rRNA from 1 species